AUACGGAGGGUGCAAGCGUUAAUCGGAAUUACUGGGCGUAAAGCGCGCGUAGGCGGUUUGAUCAGUCGGAUGUGAAAGCCCUGGGCUCAACCUGGGAACUGCAUUCGAUACUGUCAGACUAGAAUAUGGUAGAGGGUAGUGGAAUUCCUGGUGUAGCGGUGAAAUGCGUAGAUAUCAGGAGGAACAUCAGUGGCGAAGGCGGCUACCUGGACCAAUAUUGACGCUGAGGUGCUAAAGCGUGGGGAGCAAACAGGAUUAGAAACCCUAGUAGUCC
rnacentral:rRNA from 1 species